rnacentral:misc_RNA from 1 species
AACUUUUAGCAAUGGAUCUCUUGGCUCUUGCAUCGAUGAAGAACGCAGUAAUGUGCGAAAAGUAAUGCGAAUUGCAUACCUCUGCGAGUCAUCUAGUCUUUGAACGCAAAUGGCACUGCUACGACGAGUGGCAGUAUGUCUGUUUGAGAACCGCAAAAACCAUCACAUAUGUUAUAUGUGGACGUGUCCCUUAAUGUGAUAUAUAUAUAUAUAUAUAUGAAUAUACAUCAUAUAUAUUAUCAAAUACGGGAUUAAAAGGAUAGUGUAGCGAGAACUCUUAGAGUAUGUGAUAAUCAUUCAUAUUCCAAGAGUUCAUAUAUUCACAGUGCAUAUUUAAUAUAUUCACAGUGAAUAUGCGCAUAACACCCCAUGACAUUAUAAUUCAUACGGUCUCAAAUCAGACAAGAUUACCCGCUGAACUUAAGCAUAUCAAUAAGCGGAGGCU